rnacentral:rRNA from 2 species
UACGUAGGGUGCGAGCGUUAAUCGGAAUUACUGGGCGUAAAGCGUGCGCAGGCGGUUUUGCAAGUCAGAUGUGAAAGCCCCGGGCUCAACCUGGGAACUGCGUUUGAAACUGCAAGGCUAGAGUAUGGGAGAGGGAGGUAGAAUUCCACGUGUAGCAGUGAAAUGCGUAGAGAUGUGGAGGAAUACCAAUGGCGAAGGCAGCCUCCUGGCCUAAUACUGACGCUCAUGCACGAAAGCGUGGGGAGCAAACAGG